CACAAAAGAUGCAACUGAAAAGAAUCAAAACAGGCCUCAGCAGAAAUCAUCAUUUCAUUAGAGUUGAAACCACUGUUUUCUUUAUCUUUUUCUUAAACAUUUUUGAAACAAUAAGUCUAUUUUUUUUUUGGUCUUAUUCAGGUCUCAACUUUUAAUUAGGCCUAGUGAGAGCUACUGGACUGUAUUCUUCUUUUCAAUUCAUGAAAUGUGCUUCUGUUCUAGAAAGAAGAGCUAAGUUGAUGCACGACACAUAUUGCCCCGAUACAGCACAAAUACAUCAACACUACGAUAUAUUUAUCAUUGAAUAUACUUGUUUUGAACUACCAGGACAACAAAAAUUAGUGAAGCAAGUUUAAAAUAGGCUUGUUCAGAACAAGUGCCAAACAUUCAAUUUAUAGUUUUCAAAGCAUCACACAAGGCAAAUUUAAUGCUCAAGGCAACCAGUCACCUUAUGCAUCAAGGAGCCAAGACCCUGAAGAUGAAGGAACAAUAGCUUG